rnacentral:rRNA from 1 species
AGAGUUUGAUCAUGGCUCAGAUUGAACGCUGGCGGAAUGCUUUACACAUGCAAGUCGAACGGCAGCACGGAGAGCUUGCUCUCUGGUGGCGAGUGGCGAACGGGUGAGUAAUAUAUCGGAACGUGUCCAAUAAUGGGGGAUAACGAGUCGAAAGAUUCGCUAAUAUCGCAUACGCCCUACGGGGGAAAGCAGGGGAUCGUAAGACCUUGCGUUAAUGGAGCGGCCGAUAUCUGAUUAGCUUGUUGGUGAGGUAAAGGCUCACCAAGGCGACGAUCAGUAGCUGGUUUGAGAGAACGACCAGCCACACUGGAACUGAGACACGGUCCAGACUCCUACGGGAGGCAGCAGUGGGGAAUUUUGGACAAUGGGGGCAACCCUGAUCCAGCCAUUCCGCGUGAGUGAAGAAGGCCUUCGGGUUGUAAAGCUCUUUCGCAAGGGAAGAAAACUUAUGAUCGAAUAAAUCAUGAGGUUGACGGUACCUUGAUAAGAAGCACCGGCUAACUACGUGCCAGCAGCCGCGGUAAUACGUAGGGUGCGAGCGUUAAUCGGAAUUACUGGGCGUAAAGCGUGCGCAGGCGGUUUUGUAAGUCGGAUGUGAAAUCCCCGGGCUCAACCUGGGAACUGCGUUCGAAACUGCAAGGCUAAAGUGUGUCAGAGGGGGGUAGAAUUCCACGUGUAGCAGUGAAAUGCGUAGAGAUGUGGAGGAAUACCAAUGGCGAAGGCAGC